CAAACAUUAAUAUAUGUAUGCUUGUACUGCCCAAGCACAUGCACUAGUGUUCGUGUGUGCAAACACACAUGUUCAUCUCUGUUGGCAUAAAAUACGACCGGCAGCAAUGUAGAGCUAGGGUCUACACAGACACAUCAAGUUUAAGUGUCCAGUGCCAGGCGGGAGGAUGCACUUGUAAACGGGUAAAUUGCAUGUUAUACAUGCAAUUGCAUGUUCAGACAAUACUACCUAAAUCACUGCGUGCGCUUCUCCGAGGCCACGUUUUGCGUAUUUGAAAAAACUCCUUAAGUUACAAGUAUGUGUGUACACGCUGCACAUGCACAGAUGCCCCAAUGCGACGGAAGGACCAUCAACCCAAAGACGCGCGCGUGCGCGAGUGUUCACACAGACGUGUGCCUUGGCGCCUGCACACGGCCCGCGCCCAGGCACGCGGACGCCUACACGUAUACACAGGCAUGUUUUACCGACGCAUCUGGGGCACUUUCUUUCAAAGAAAGUAAGGAAUGAAAACCUAAUCUGGGAGUCACCGGGGUUCAUCUGGAGGUCGCCCAAAGGGUAGAAAAAAUUGUAACAACGCUGGAGAGGGUGUCCUUGGUGCAGCUCCGCGCCCAGGCUAGAUGGAUACAAUACGCUUUCGAGAAUUCUAGGGGCUGCUUUAGGAGGAGGGGGGCGGGUGGGGGAGGAGGAGCACUCGGCAACUCUUGCCGCGGGCUUCUCAAGAAACAGGGAAACGCACCCUGCGGCUCUUCACUCCCCCCCCCCCCCACAAAUGUAAGUACACGAUUUUAUCGCCUGUCCGACCUGCAGCCCACGCCCAUCCCUGAUCGACCCCAAAUUCCCUGGCAGUCAAGAUUCCCGCCGGUGCGCCCGCUUAAGCAUCCCUAGGUGUCAGGCUGGGACGCGCCCGGGUCCGCUAGAGACUCAAAAGCAUCUCCCGCCGCGGGGCGGGAUCUGGGUGCCCUAGCCCUGGGCUCAGAGGCGGGUAACUUUGCUAAUCUCCCCCAGCGGCGGGGCGGGGGUGGGGGGGGGGGACGUCGCACAACCGCUGCGCCCUGUCCGUGAAGACUAAACAAGGAAAGGAACAGGCUGUAAACACACAUCCUGACACGCAGGGAUGUUGCUCUUGGAGAAUGUGAAGACAGUUUGCUUCUUGACAAGCGAGCGAGCGGGCGCCCAGAUUUUUGCAGCCUCUCCGAGAGUCUCCCCCGAGGGAAAGGCAGGCAGAGAAAUCGCCGGAUUUGGGAGUCACUAGGGAAGGAUUCCGCGCGGAGGGAGCCGCCCUCCUUGGCCCCAGACCGGCUGCCUAGGGCCCCCCCUUUGGGCACUGCCAGUGGAUGACCUGAAACUCUGAGGAUGGUUUUGGGGAUUGGGGUCGGGGAAGCCUCUCGGAUAAUAACUGCAAAUAGAAAAAGAGGCAAAAACAAUUUCUUCUCUGCCUUGAAGCAGAAAGGACUGUGUUCUUAAAGCCGCUGGUUGCAGUCA